CCUACGGGGGGCAGCAGUGAGGAAUAUUGGUCAAUGGACGAGAGUCUGAACCAGCCAAGUAGCGUGAAGGAUGACUGCCCUAUGGGUUGUAAACUUCUCUUAUAUGGGAAUAAAAUGUUCCACGUGUGGGAUUUUGUAUGUACCAUAUGAAUAAGGAUCGGCUAACUCCGUGCCAGCAGCCGCGGUAAUACGGAGGAUCCGAGCGUUAUCCGGAUUUAUUGGGUUUAAAGGGAGCGUAGGUGGAUUGUUAAGUCAGUUGUGAAAGUUUGCGGCUCAACCGUAAAAUUGCAGUUGAAACUGGCAGUCUUGAGUACAGUAGAGGUGGGCGGAAUUCGUGGUGUAGCGGUGAAAUGCUUAGAUAUCACGAAGAACUCCGAUUGCGAAGGCAGUUCACUGGACUGCAACUGACACUGAGGCUCGAAAGUGUGGGUAUCAAACAGGAUUAGAUACCCUAGUAGUC
rnacentral:rRNA from 1 species